AGACAUUAAUCUUAAGUAUCCAGGGAGCCCUAAAACAUUGUAUCCCACUAGCAAGGACCAUGGUAAUUGCCACGUAAAUCCCCUCCAUUAUGUGGCCCUUAUUAUGACCAGCCAGCCAAGGCUUGCCUUUAAAUCAUACCAAUUGAACCGAGCCUUGUAGAAACACUAUCACCUACGCAUACCUCUGCUUCUUUUCAUUAACCUGCUAUCCUCUUUACAAAUGGGAUUCUUCACCCACUCCCUUCUUCUAGAUUAGCAAUGCCCUGUUAAGUAAACGAACACGAAAUUCAAAGGGAAACAGGAGCAAUCAUCAUUACCAGCUGCCGUGUUAAGCAUUGCGAAAACGCUCACGAUUCACAGAAAAAUCCAUGCUGUUCUUUGAAGGCAUUCAAGCCUUAAUAGCUAGCUGGAUGAAUGUUUAACUUCUAGGCCAGGCACUACUCUGUCCCAACAAUAAGCCCUGUACAUUGGGAAAGGUGCCGAGACAUGAACUUUGGUCUUCUCUGCAAUCCAUCUGGAGCAUUCACUGACAACAUCGACUUUGAAGUUGCACUGACCUGGCCAGCCCUGCCACUUACCAGGCUGUGGCUUGCCUUUUCACUUCUUGUGUCCUGUUUAAGAAAUAUCUGCUAUCCCAAGAUAACACUAACAAAGUUGACCUUAGAAUUGGAGUGCCUGGGUUAGAACCCUGCUGGUACCACCUGCUUACUGCAUGCUUCUGAUGUGAGUUCAGGAGAAGACACUGGCAAGGACAGCAAAGAACAGGAGAACACUCUAGCUUCCCUGAUAGCAUUCAAGGUGCUGUCCAAAAGUUUCACUCUUAUUGCCCAGGCUGGAGUGGAAUGGCGCAAUCUUGGCUCACUGCAACCUCCGUCUUUCGGGUUCAAGCAAUUCUUCUGCCUCAGCCUCCCCAGUAGCUGGGACUACAGGCAUGCACCACCAUGCCUGGCUAAUUUUGUAUUUUUAGGAGAGACGGGGUUUCACCAUGUUGGUCAGGCUGGUCUUGAACUCCUGACCUCAGUUGAUCCACCGUCUUCAGCCUCCCAAAGUGCUGGGAAUACAGGCAUGAGCCACCAUGCCCAGCCUAAUUUUUCUUACAUGAGAUACGGUUUACCAAAGUCCACCUUCCACUUCUUCCUUCGUGUAUAUAUAGAGAUAGCAUUUCCUAGCUUCUCUUGCAAUUAAUUGUGGCCAUGAGCUUUGGGCAGUGGAAUGUGAAUGGAAGUGAUGUGGCCACUCCAUAUGUGUUUCUCUGUGUCCUUUCCCCUUCUAGCUGACUGUGAUGGCACCCUCCAGACAGACAGCGAUGCCACAUGUUCAAGAUGGCAGAAUCACUAUCAGCUUCAAUUCCUGAAUGACUGCAGAGCAAAAUUUCUUACCUGCAACAUACACUCUAUUUUCAGCCUCCCUGGACUGUUACAUAAUGAUACAUAAAAAUAUUUCUUGUGUUGAGGCAUCCCAAAUUUGAUUUAUUUGUCAUCACAGUCUAUCCUAUGAAUAUAUUUCUGAUCCAAAUAAUGCUAGAUUCAUGAGAGUUUAUAGUCCAGAGAUUUUUUUUUUUUUUUUGAGACAGAAUCUGUCUCCCAGGCUGGGGUGCAGUGGCAUAAUCUUAGCUCACUGCAACCUCUGCCUCCCGGGCUCAAGUGAUCCUCCCUCCUUAGCCUCCAUGAGUAGCUGGGACCACAGGUGUGCACCACCACACCCCGCUAAUUAUUUUGUAUUUUUUGCAGAGGGGGGUUUCACCACAUUGCCCAAGCUGGUCUCAAACUCCUAGACUUAAGGGAUCUGCCUGCCUUGGCCUCCCAAAAUGCUGAAAUUACACUUGUUAGCCAUAGUAAUAGUUCCUAGCCAUAGUCCGGAGAUAUUUUAAAAACUUUAGUGUGAGUUAUUUCUCUUUGCUAUAAUUCUCUCAUGCAUUUUGAAAACCUUUUCUGCCAUACAGUGGUUUUUGGGAAGUCCUUUUGGACAGACAUAUCACAGGAUGGAGAAACUAAAAAGAGAGAAUGCAUUAAAGAAAAAAUAGUACUUCGUAUUUCAGAAAUUACAAAAGGGUGUCAUGCCCCACAGCAUGGUGGGCAGUCAUUUGUAACCCACAGAACAUUGAGUUUCUAAAAUUUGAGUGUUUUUAACUUACGAAGGCCAACUUUACUGAUGAAGUGAUUACCCCAAAUAUGUGAAAUCCAUAUUUCAAGUACAAUAGUAGGAAAUUGGAAAUGGGCUCUUGAGUUUCUGCUUUCAAGUGACCCUCAGAAAUUCCUCCAUUCACUGCAGAGGUUCUGUUUCUCCUUGCUUUGUUCUGACUUUACGGCAGAACUAAGCUAAUGAGUUAGUUACUAUGGGUUAUCACUUGGAUUUGAAGAACCAUCAUUUCUAGGCAUUGCUGCUCAGAGUGGGUCUGCCCUCAGGGGAAGCUGUCUAACCAGAGCCUAACCCACUAGGGUUUUAUCAGAACCUAACUGACCUGAGGAAAAGAAAUACUCAACUCCAGCAAGCUCCAGCCUUCCAAAUGGAGGAGGAGAAAACCCAACUCCAGCCCACUUCAGCUAUCUUGUCCCACAUAAAGGGGAAGUGGAAGAAACCUGAGAAGCAGGCAUGAAGUUCACAGUCCAGAGAUGACAUGAUUUUCUAUGCAAAAAAUUCAAAAUAAUCAACAACAAAAAAAUCCUGAAACUAAUAAAUGAUUAUAGCAAGAUUUCAGGAUAUGAGAUUUAUAUACAAAGGUCAAUUACUUUCAUAUAUACAAGCAAUGAACAAGAGGGAUUUGAAAUUAAAAACGAAACUAUUUACAUUAGUACCCCCAAAAUGAAAUCCUUAUGUAUAAACUUAACAAAAUAUGUACAAGAUACAUAUGAGAAAAA
rnacentral:lncRNA from 1 species